GCUGGGUGUGGUGGCGUGCGCCUGUAAUCCAGCUACUCGGGAGGCUGAGGCAGGAGAAUCGCUUGAACCCAGGAGGUGGAAGUUGCAGUGAGCUGAGAUCGUGCCAUUGCACUCCAGCCUGGGUGACAGAGCAAGACUCUGUCUCAA
rnacentral:SRP_RNA from 1 species